UCACACGCAUCUAUUCUGAUUCAUUGUGAACCACCUGAUGUGAGUUGCGCCUUUAGAUGGAGACAACUUGUCUACAACUUUGGGUGGAAUCUCGCGGGUAGUCUGAACGAUAUUGGACCGUCUUCCUUUAUUGUCUGGCUACCGUGUCUGUGUGAGCGAUGUUUUGUUUUGUCAUCAAUCUUCCAUCUUUGGUGGGUGACCACCUGUGAUUGCUUCAU
rnacentral:misc_RNA from 1 species